rnacentral:rRNA from 1 species
GCGUGCCUAAUACAUGCAAGUCGAGCGAAUGGAUUAAGAGCUUGCUCUUAUGAAGUUAGCGGCGGACGGGUGAGUAACACGUGGGUAACCUGCCCAUAAGACUGGGAUAACUCCGGGAAACCGGGGCUAAUACCGGAUAACAUUUUGAACUGCAUGGUUCGAAAUUGAAAGGCGGCUUCGGCUGUCACUUAUGGAUGGACCCGCGUCGCAUUAGCUAGUUGGUGAGGUAACGGCUCACCAAGGCAACGAUGCGUAGCCGACCUGAGAGGGUGAUCGGCCACACUGGGACUGAGACACGGCCCAAACUCCUACGGGAGGCAGCAGUAGGGAAUCUUCCGCAAUGGACGAAAGUCUGACGGAGCAACGCCGCGUGAGUGAUGAAGGCUUUCGGGUCGUAAAACUCUGUUGUUAGGGAAAAACAAGUGCUAGUUGAAUAAGCUGGCACCUUGACGGUACCUAACCAGAAAGCCACGGCUAACUACGUGCCAGCAGCCGCGGUAAUACGUAGGUGGCAAGCGUUAUCCGGAAUUAUUGGGCGUAAAGCGCGCGCAGGUGGUUUCUUAAGUCUGAUGUGAAAGCCCACGGCUCAACCGUGGAGGGUCAUUGGAAACUGGGAGACUUGAGUGCAGAAGAGGAAAGUGGAAUUCCAUGUGUAGCGGUGAAAUGCGUAGAGAUAUGGAGGAACACCAGUGGCGAAGGCGACUUUCUGGUCUGUAACUGACACUGAGGCGCGAAAGCGUGGGGAGCAAACAGGAUUAGAUACCCUGGUAGUCCACGCCGUAAACGAUGAGUGCUAAGUGUUAGAGGGUUUCCGCCCUUUAGUGCUGAAGUUAACGCAUUAAGCACUCCGCCUGGGGAGUACGGCCGCAAGGCUGAAACUCAAGGAAUUGACGGGGGCCCGCACAAGCGGUGGAGCAU